UACGCGCUUAUUUCGUCCUCUGCUUUGGCAGACACACCGAAACCCGC
rfam:Pelobacter acetylenicus strain DSM 3247 genome.